rnacentral:rRNA from 1 species
GACGAACGCUGGCGGCGUGCUUAACACAUGCAAGUCGAACGGAAAGGCCCUGCCUUUGUGCGGUGCUCGAGUGGCGAACGGGUGAGUAACACGUGAGUAACCUGCCAUUGACCUUGGGAUAACUUCAGGAAACUGGGGCUAAUACCGGAUAGGAGCUCCUGCUGCAUGGUGGGGGCUGGAAAGUUUCGGUGGUUGGGGAUGGACUGGCGGCUUAUCAGCUUGUUGGUGGGGUAGUGGAUUACCAAGGCUUGGACGGGUAGCCGGCCUGAGAGGGUGACCGGCCACAUUGGGACUGAGAUACGGCCCAGACGCCUACGGGAGGCAGCGGUGGAGAAUAUUGCACAAUGGGCGGAAGCCUGGAGCAGCAACGCCGCGUGCGGGAUGACGGCCUUCGGGUUGUAAACCGCUUUCGCCUGUGACGAAGCGUGAGUGACGGUAAUGGGUAAAGAAGCACCGGCUAACUACGUG